CUAUACCUGUGUUAAUCAGCUAGUGCAACACAAGUUUUUAUGUUCAGUUAAAGUUUCCAAAGGAACGCUUCAAGAAGGAAAAGAAAGUUAACAGAAAGUGGAGGAAGGAAACAAAACUGAAACACCAGCACAGCAGGAAACAGUAUCGUCAGUAACUCAGUAACAAAAUAUCAUGAUUAUUUGCUUUGUAUUUGUGAUUAGCUGGCAUUCCAGCCUGAUUUAAAUGAACGUGGAGAAAGAAAGAAAAGAAAAAAAAAAAGAUUUUAAUAAAUAGUGAUCUGAUGGGGGGGAGGGUGUAAGGGAUAAUUCUUUUUUGCACCUUUGCCUCAAAGCUUGCUGAGGAACACAGAUGGACAAGUCCAGACAAGUCUUGGACGAAGCUGGAAAAAUCUUUUGUUUGAAGAUUUGCAGGCCAGGGGCAACGAGAGAGAUAAGUAGCAGCUUAAUGGGCGGGAAAUGGUCUUUUGUGUGGGCUCAUCUCAAGGGAGAUGGCCAUCUCAGGGGUGCUGCACAUGACUCCUACCUAAGCGGCCAGGAACGCCUGCAGAUGACUCUUACCGAAGUGCCUAGGAAUGCCACAUUGACGGAAGAAGAAGGAUAAAAAUGGGACCUACAACCAAGAGAGAUGAGGUCUCUGACAUCAGAUUCCUCAUGCCUGCUGCCAGACUUUCCUGGGCCUGCAACCUGCUUGCUGCCUGUUUCUCCUGGACUCCCUGCUUGCUGCGUAAGGACGGCCACUCUGCUGCUGCCUACUUCUGCGCUCCUGCAUCGGCCUCGGACCAUCGGAACGGCAUGCAACGGGAUGCUGCUUGAUCUUUGGUGGAAUCUGAGCUUUCAUUAAAAGGAAGAAAAUGUUCUCUAUUCCCUAGAGGCAUGAGUAGAUCCAUGAAUAUAUGAAACAAGAAGUCAAUGCAAAGCUCAUGCUAGUUAUUUUUUACACGCAGAAGAAAACAACACAGAUAAUAAAAUUAAUAAGAUCACCAAUCUGAAAUCUAAACAUCUUCAUUGUACUUCUGCUUUUAUUUUUAGGAUGAGGUCCCACAGAAUUCCAAGUUCUGUUUUUUUGUUGUUGUUUUUUUUUCCUUUUUUCCGUUGCCACAAACAGAAGAAACUGAAAGUGGUCUUAGAAAUUGCUGUGCCUCAAAAACUGCUCCAACUCUACCAGAGCAAUGCCAUUGCUUAGCAAACAUUCAAGUCUGAAAAUAAGACAGAAUCUAUGAAUCAUUUGGUGUACAUUUGUGGGAUUAAGUAGUCUUGAAGUCUGAUAUUUGCUCAAGGUAAUGCUUAUGAACUUGCCCUGAAGAGUCAUUCCACCAAAAUAAAAAUAAAAUACUAAAAUAUGCUAAAAUGUUUUAAAAAUAAAAUAGUAAGAUAAAAUUUGCAGAAUUAAAAAUCCCCGAAGUGCAUUCAUUCCAAUGUAUUUGUACAUUUAGUUUUGUGAGUUAUUAGCAUAGAAAUUUUAAUUAAAAUUUUUGAUAACGAUAAGAAAGAAAUUUGAUCUGAGCUCCUCAUCUGGAAAAUGUAGAUUAAAAAAAAAAAAGCAAUAUUUAAUUAGUCCUGAUGAUUUUUGCGUAAGGAAUAAAAUCCUCCAGGGCUAAUUAAAAUACUUUGGGCUUCUGCUAAUAAGACUUAGCAGAAGCAACAAGAAAUAUAAUAUCUGACUUUUAUGAAGAAAAAAUGUUGAAUUGCAUACAUUCCUAUGAUUUUUUUUUCCUCCAAGAUAGAGAGUUGCAGAAGUUUUUAGCAAAAUUUUAACAUUAAUUGGACUAGAGAAUAUGAAUAUUUGCAACCAAUGCAAUAAUGCUGUUAGUUAUCUACAAUAAGUAAGUUUUAUUCAUUUCUUUUUAUCACUGAAAGAAUAUAUAAACUGAGAUCUUCUGCCUUAUUGUAUUUACAGUAGGUUUAUAGCUGAAACACUUUUUAAAUCUGCCAUCUACAUCUCAAAAGGAGAGAGGAACGCAUCCUUUCCUGGCAGCUCCUUUUUCUGCAGCAUUUCAAGAAUCUAUUUUUGAUUGAAGUGAUGAAAGAGUCUUUUCAAAUCACUAUGUUCAUGUAAAUAAAAUAAAUAAACAGAGCUCUUAGGUUUACAGUUGGGUUCAAUGUACAAAGCAGAGUUCAUUCCCAGAUAAAUCAGUACAAGACAAAACACAGGAGUAUCCUAGGGCUUGGACACAGAACUACACAUUGAACUUGUGCAUGUAUCAACAGGUGAGCAGAACAUAAAGAAGUUACUACACUCGGAUGCCAGAUCUCAGUGUCUGAAAUAUUUUUUUCUUUUUGUAGUUAUCAAAAAUUAAUUUGUUUUUUUUACAUAACCUCACUUUUAAAUUAUUUUUUCUAUUGCUGAAAAAUCUUCAGUUAACUUCACUAUAAACUUCAACAAGUUUAUUAUUCUGUACUUUAUAAUAUCUCAUUUUGAAAUGCAUAGUGCCAUUUUAUUUUUCAAAGAUAAAAAGCACAUAUUUUUCUAAAUAAAGGAGUGUUCUUAGGUACAACAUAGCUUUUACUGUCAGGGAAAUACCAGCAUCAAACAAACUCCAGAUCUUAUUAUAUGAUAUUUAUAAAGGAAAUUCGAGGUCCAUAUUAUCAAGAUAUUACAGGGUGCUUUGGAGAGUGGUAAAAUACAAAGAUCACUCCAGAGCACUAUAAUCUCUGUUAUUUUAAAACAUGGUAAAGAUGUGGGGAAAGUGCAGUAGCUACAGACUCAUAUUUUUAAUUAAUCUAGACUGUAAAAUCUUGCACAAGUGUGAACUAAGGUCUGUAUUUCCCAAAUUAAUUUGCCCAAAUCAAGUGGGCUUUUUUAAGACAAGGUUAUCAAACAAUAGCAUCAGUUCCUAAUAGGUGCAAUAAACACUGUACAACACUAAA